CUUCAGUCACUCUCCACCCUAUCUUUUUGAGACAGGGUCUCUCAGUGAACUUGGAGCUUAUAGUUUCCGGUAUCCGGUUUCUGGUUUCCGGUUUCCGGUAGAUCGGCUGGGAAGGACCCACCUGGCUCCACCCUCUUCUACCCUGGGCUUACAGCGCCAUGGAAACCUCUGGAUCCCGUCCAUCUCCAAAACUAAGGGCUUUCCUGAAAACUUCACACUCAGGAAUCCAUGACGUCGCCUCCUCCGCAGCCAGCCAGCUCCGUGGCUCCUUUGGCCGCCAAGCACAAGUCCCUGAUUGUUCGGGGCAGAGAAAAAGUCAGGGAGAGGGAGGCGCGCAGGGGUGGGGGCGCGGCCCGCCAGGCCCUGCAGGAGCUGUGUGCAAACUCGCAGACAGCCACCGCCUCCCCGCUGCAGCCUUGCCUGAAUCCAGCCUCCUGACACCCCACUUUGUGAGCGGGUGCCCCUUGGAGAAAGCUCCCCAGGAUUUCAGCCAGCACCCCCUGGGUUGUCCAGGACCCAGGGGUGUCUCCUUAGGCCCUCAGUGCCUCUGACUGCCCAGAUUCUUGAGUGUUCAGGGAUGAAGAGGAGCAAGACGAAGGAAAAAGAAAUAAAUAACAGCGCCUGUGCCAA